rnacentral:rRNA from 1 species
ACGAACGCUGGCGGCGUGCCUAAUACAUGCAAGUAGAACGCUGAAGGGAGGAGCUUGCUCUUCUUGGAUGAGUUGCGAACGGGUGAGUAACGCGUAGGUAACCUGCCUUGUAGCGGGGGAUAACUAUUGGAAACGAUAGCUAAUACCGCAUAACAAUGGAUGACCCAUGUCAUUUAUUUGAAAGGGGCAAAUGCUCCACUACAAGAUGGACCUGCGUUGUAUUAGCUAGUAGGUGAGGUAACGGCUCACCUAGGCGACGAUACAUAGCCGACCUGAGAGGGUGAUCGGCCACACUGGGACUGAGACACGGCCCAGACUCCUACGGGAGGCAGCAGUAGGGAAUCUUCGGCAAUGGGGGCAACCCUGACCGAGCAACGCCGCGUGAGUGAAGAAGGUUUUCGGAUCGUAAAGCUCUGUUGUAAGUCAAGAACGAGUGUGAGAGUGGAAAGUUCACACUGUGACGGUAGCUUACCAGAAAGGGACGGCUAACUACGUGCCAGCAGCCGCGGUAAUACGUAGGUCCCGAGCGUUGUCCGGAUUUAUUGGGCGUAAAGCGAGCGCAGGCGGUUUGAUAAGUCUGAAGUUAAAGGCUGUGGCUCAACCAUAGUUCGCUUUGGAAACUGUCAAACUUGAGUGCAGAAGGGGAGAGUGGAAUUCCAUGUGUAGCGGUGAAAUGCGUAGAUAUAUGGAGGAACACCGGUGGCGAAAGCGGCUCUCUGGUCUGUAACUGACGCUGAGGCUCGAAAGCGUGGGGAGCGAACAGGAUUAGAUACCCUGGUAGUCCACGCCGUAAACGAUGAGUGCUAGGUGUUGGAUCCUUUCCGGGAUUCAGUGCCGCAGCUAACGCAUUAAGCACUCCGCCUGGGGAGUACGACCGCAAGGUUGAAACUCAAAGGAAUUGACGGGGGCCCGCACAAGCGGUGGAGCAUGUGGUUUAAUUCGAAGCAACGCGAAGAACCUUACCAGGUCUUGACAUCCCGAUGCUAUUUCUAGAGAUAGGAAGUUACUUCGGUACAUCGGUGACAGGUGGUGCAUGGUUGUCGUCAGCUCGUGUCGUGAGAUGUUGGGUUAAGUCCCGCAACGAGCGCAACCCCUAUUGUUAGUUGCCAUCAUUCAGUUGGGCACUCUAGCAAGACUGCCGGUAAUAAACCGGAGGAAGGUGGGGAUGACGUCAAAUCAUCAUGCCCCUUAUGACCUGGGCUACACACGUGCUACAAUGGUUGGUACAACGAGUUGCGAGUCGGUGACGGCGAGCUAAUCUCUUAAAGCCAAUCUCAGUUCGGAUUGUAGGCUGCAACUCGCCUACAUGAAGUCGGAAUCGCUAGUAAUCGCGGAUCAGCACGCCGCGGUGAAUACGUUCCCGGGCCUUGUACACACCGCCCGUCACACCACGAGAGUUUGUAACACCCGAAGUCGGUGAGGUAACCUUAUGGAGCCAGCCGCCUAAGGUGGGAUAGAUGAUUGGGGUG